UACGGAGGAUGCAAGCGUUAUCCGGAAUGAUUGGGCGUAAAGCGUCCGCAGGUGGCUAUGUAAGUCUGCUGUUAAAGAGUCUGGCUCAACCAGAUAAAGGCAGUGGAAACUACAUGGCUAGAGUGCGUUCGGGGCAGAGGGAAUUCCUGGUGUAGCGGUGAAAUGCGUAGAGAUCAGGAAGAACACCGGUGGCGAAAGCACUCUGCUGGGCCGACACUGACACUGAGAGACGAAAGCUAGGGGAGCAAAUGGG
rnacentral:rRNA from 1 species